AACGAACGCUGGCGGCAUGCCUAACACAUGCAAGUCGAACGAGACCUUCGGGUCUAUUUGCGCACGGGUGCGUAACGCGUGGGAAUCUGCCCUUGGGUUCGGGAUAUCAGUUGGAAACGACUGCUAAUACCGGAUGAUGACGUAAGUCCAAAGAUUUAUCGCCCAGGGUUGAGCCUGAGUAGGCUUAGCUCGUUGGUGGGGUAAAGGCCUACCAAGGCACAGUUCCUCAGCUGGUCGGAGAGGAUGAUCAGCCACCCUGGGAAUGAGGCACGGCCCAGACUCGUACGGGAGGUGGGAGGGGGGAAUAGUGGACGACUGGAGAAGUUCUGACCCAGCCCUGACGCGCGAGAGAUGAAGGCAGUAGGGAAGGAAAGCGCUCGUACCCGGGAUGAUAAUGACAGUACCGGGAGAAUAAGCCCCGGCUAACUCCGUG
rnacentral:rRNA from 1 species